rnacentral:rRNA from 1 species
GAAACAGUGGCUAAACUGGAUAGGAAGAAAUAAGGCAUCUUUUUUCUUUUAAAAGACCUAGUAAUAGGUAUCUUUAGGAGGGGCUUGCGCCAUAUUAGUUAGUUGGUAGGGUAAUGGCCUACCAAGACGAUGAUGUGUAGCUGGACUGAGAGGUUGAACAGCCACAUUGGGACUGAGACACGGCCCAAACUCCUACGGGAGGCAGCAGUAAGGAAUUUUCGGCAAUGGAGGAAACUCUGACCGAGCAACGCCGCGUGAAUGACGAAGUACUUCGGUAUGUAAAGUUCUUUUAUCAAGGAAGAAAAGCAAAUGGCGAACCAUUUGUUUGCCGGUACUUGAUGAAUAAGCCCCGGCUAAUUAUGUGCCAGCAGCCGCGGUAAGACAUAAGGGGCAAGUGUUAUCCGGAAUUAUUGGGCGUAAAGGGUGCGUAGGCGGUCUAGUAAGUCAGUGGUGUAAUGGCAACGCUCAACGUUGUCCGGCUAUUGAAACUGCUAAACUUGAGUUAGAUAGAGGCGAGUGGAAUUCCAUGUGUAGCGGUAAAAUGCGUAAAUAUAUGGAGGAACACCAGAGGCGUAGGCGGCUCGCUGGGUCUUAACUGACGCUGAGGCACGAAAGCGUGGGGAGCAAACAGGAUUAGAUACCCUGGUAGUCCACGCCGUAAACGAUGAGUACUAAGUGUCGGGUUAAACCGGUACUGAAGUUAACACAUUAAGUACUCCGCCUGAGUAGUACGUACGCAAGUAUGAAACUUAAAGGAAUUGACGGGACUCCGCACAAGCGGUGGAUCAUGUUGUUUAAUUCGAAGAUACCCGAAAAACCUUACCAGGUCUUGACAUGUUUUUGCAAAACGAUAGUAAUAUCGUGGAGGUUAUCAGAAACACAGGUGGUGCAUGGUUGUCGUCAGCUCGUGUCGUGAGAUGUUAGGUUAAGUCCUAAAACGAGCGAAACCCUUAUCGUUAGUUGCCAGCACGUUAUGGUGGGGACUUUAACGAGACUGCCAGUGAUAAAUUGGAGGAAAGGUGAGGAUCACGUCAAAUCAGCAUGCCCCUUAUGACCUGGGCUACAAACGUGAUACAAUGGCUGUUACAAAGGGUAGCUGAAACGCAAGUUCUUGGCCAAUCCCCAAAAACAGUCUCAGUCCGGAUUGAAGUCUGCAACUCGACUUCAUGAAGUUGGAAUCGCUAGUAAUCGCGAAUCAGCAUGUCGCGGUGAAUACGUUCUCGGGGUUUGUACACACCGCCCGUCA